UUUUGAUGGCUAUUAUGUUUCACCCAUGCUUCUAGUUUGGGAAAUACAUCAACAUAGAAAAGAAAACUGGUCUUCAAGCCAUCCAUCCCUCAUGUGGUUAUGAGUUGUUUGCGAAACAUUCAUAAAAAGGUUGACCAUCAAAUGACUGGGGUGUCAUGACCGUUGUGGAAUGAUAGUUAUAAGGAAAUGUUGGGAGGAAUGGGGUCAGGAAAUGACGCAAACCGAACUCGAACUUUUGUCACCUGUAAGAGGACAAUGGUUCCUGUCAGACUUGUCAGUGCAUGCACACUUACCAAUACAAUUUAUGUUUUAACCCCCAUAUACUCUUAAGAUUUACUGACUUUGUUUGUACUGCCACAGAUUCAAACAAUUUCUGUUAAAUAAUGAUCAUUUUGAAAUUAACAACUUAUUUUCCCAAUCAGGUUAAUUAAAGGUUUAUUUU